rnacentral:rRNA from 1 species
UACAGAGGUCUCGAGCGUUAGGCGGAAUCACUGGGCUUAAAGCGUGUGUAGGCGGAUCGUUAAGUGCCUUGUGAAAUCCCACGGCUCAACCGUGGAACUGCUUGGCAUACUGGCGGUCUUGAGCAACCUAGGGGCGAGCGGAACAAACGGUGGAGCGGUGAAAUGCGCAGAUAUCAUUUGGAACGCCAAUGGUGAAAACAGCUCGCUGGGGGUUUGCUGACGCUGAGACACGAAAGCCAGGGGAGCAAACGGG